CUUCUUGUCUUUAUUUUCCUUUCUAAAACCUCACAUCACAAGAGAAAAUUGCAUAGAUAUUUUUAUUCGAAUAUCUCAUGUCACUGUUCAUAUAUAUCAUUGAAUGUGAUGGAAAGCAAAAAAGACUGUAAAGUGAGUCUUUUUCUUUGAGCUUUGUUAGUUCGUUAUACAGAUUCACAAAUAUCUGUGCGAAUCAACCCCAGUUUAACACAUUGUCUAAUUUACAAACUUGACAUGCAAUCUGAGCUCCUGUAAAGCUGACUGUUAUCUUUCUAUGAGCUCUUGUAAUCUAUUAAAUUACUUACUUCCAUUUAUACAAUACUUGAAGGGCCAUUUGGAUUCCACAUAAAUUAUGAGCUGCUGUAAUCUAUGAACAUGGAUCUAUACCACUCAACUUCCAAGUUGUUGCCUUUAUCUUAUUCCUAGUUUGCCUUGCCCCAAAAGGCCACUCUGUGUCCACUAGACCCAAGCAACCUCCCAGAGACUUGAAACAGUGUAUUUAUGUCUUUCCUAUCUCGUCCCUGGGAGCAUCCAGUGGCCAAUGACAGGAUGAUCGAGAGAUGGACGAUGGUGGCAGGCACGGAUCAGAUAUUUACAGGAUACCAAGUGCUUUAUGGUAAAGCCAGACCCCAACUAGCAAACAGCAGGAGCUAAUAAUGUACCCACAUUGGAUCUCUCACUGCCUCAAUCAAAAGUCAAAUUUCUCAUGACAUGUGAAUGGCAUUAGCCAACCCUCGUAAAAGUCUAUAAGCAGCUGUUGUAAGUGCACAUUGCUUCGUCAAGUGACCAAUAGAACCUAUCAAACAAAUAAACAAGAGGCAGGGUCAGAACAAAAACUUGCACAAACAAUUGAAGAGUAGUGUAACAAGUCUUAAAGAGUAUGGCAUACAUAUCCAUGCAUAAGUACAUCUAAAUUUAAGCUAACACCUACACGUUGAAAGGUCAUUCCAGACAGUUCCAAAAGCUAUUCAAACAUUUACUCAUUGAUAAAUGCUACACAAUCAUACAAAGGAAUACUUGAGAGAAACCACAGCUCGACAUCCACAUUUUCAUCUUACCAGAUGAUACUUUGAAAAGGUUAUUAUUGCCAAUUAGUGGAUAUGGAUGGAUCAUGCUACCCUUCGAAGCAACAUUAUAUUGUCUUCCAACUGUGUUUGUACCAUGAUCAAAGUGCUGCGAAUUGUAGAUUUGAAGUUCCAGUAUUGCACAUAUGCAGAUUCAAAUAAGGAACAUGCAGCAGUUUCUCAAAAGGCAUCAUAAAAAGGAAGAACAUGCAGAUGGAGAAGAUGAGAGCGCUCUACCUCAGCCUUCAAAUUGGAUCCUCAGAUUCGCUUGCACAGACUGCAUCAGAAAACUACCAAUCCUCCUAGUUAGUUACAAGGAGAUGGAGGAUGUAUAAACAAAAUUAUCUAGGUAUACCUAGAAAAAGCAUUAAACAAAAUUAAUAAAAUAUUUUUCACCUA